rnacentral:misc_RNA from 1 species
GAUGAAGAACGUAGCGAAAUGCGAUACUUGGUGUGAAUUGCAGAAUCCCGUGAACCAUCGAGUCUUUGAACGCAAGUUGCGCCCGAAGCCACUAGGCCGAGGGCACGCCUGCCUGGGCGUCACACGCCGUUGCCCCCCCAUCUACUCCUUCGGGAUUGCGGGGGGGCGGAUGAUGGCCUCCCGUGCGCCUAGCCGCGCAGUUGGCAUAAAUACCAAGUCCUCGGCGACGCACGCCACGACAAUCGGUGGUUGCGAAACCUCGGUUGCCCGUCGUGUGCGUUCGUCGCGCAUCGAGGGCUCGAAAAAAUGCUCGGCUCCGGCUGGGCUUUCAACGCGACCCCAGGUCAGGCGGGGUUACCCGCUGAAUUUAAGCAUAUCAAUAAGCGGAGGA